rnacentral:rRNA from 1 species
CCUACGGGAGGCAGCAGUGGGGAAUCUUGCACAAUGGGCGAAAGCCUGAUGCAGCGACGCCGCGUGCGGGACGAAGGCCUUCGGGUUGUAAACCGCUUUCAGCAGGGACGAGGCGUAAGUGACGGUACCUGCAGAAGAAGCCCCGGCUAACUACGUGCCAGCAGCCGCGGUAAUACGUAGGGGGCAAGCGUUAUCCGGAUUCAUUGGGCGUAAAGCGCUCGUAGGCGGUCUGUUAGGUCGGGAGUUAAAUCCGGAGGCUCAACCUCCGUCCGCUCCCGAUACCGGCAGACUUGAGUUUGGUAGGGGAAGGUGGAAUUCCUAGUGUAGCGGUGGAAUGCGCAGAUAUUAGGAAGAACACCAGUGGCGAAGGCGGCCUUCUGGGCCAUAACUGACGCUGAGGAGCGAAAGCUAGGGGAGCAAACAGGAUUAGAUACCCUAGUAGUC